AAAACUUUCAACAACGGAUCUCUUGGUUCCGGCAUNGAUGAAGAACGCAGCGAAAUGCGAUACGUAAUGUGAAUUGCAAAUUCAGUGAAUCAUCGAGUCUUUGAACGCACAUUGCGCCCCCUGGUAUUCCGGGGGGCAUGCCUGUCCGAGCGUCAUUU
rnacentral:rRNA from 1 species